GUGCUCGCUUGGGCAGCACAUACACUAAAAUUGGAACGAUACAGAAAAGAUUAGCAUGGCCCCUGCGCAAGGAUGACGCACAAAUUCGUGAAGUGUUCCAUAUUUUU
rnacentral:snRNA from 1 species